UCUUGGAGAAUUGUCUGUUUAUGUUGUGGCGCCACCUGAAGUAUUAUCUUAUUCACUGUGUUCCUGUCAAUCAGCAGAAAUCUAUAUAUACGUACCAGAGUCAAACUCAGACAUACACAACUCAGGAGGCUUCAAGAUUUAACUGGGAUUUCUCAUUCAUCAUUUGGAGAAUCUGAUGCAGACUCGAUCUUUACCAGACAUUGACAAACAACUUAUGAUGGGGGUGACCAGUGAAGAUGACACUGAAACAGACAGCAAACUCAACUAUACAUGACUCACACCUCCAAAAGGAAUACUGUAAUUCCAGGACUCACUACAGCUUUGUGGAGGCCCUCAUAAGGAGAGUAAGAAGACUAUUGAGGCUCAACACGGGGAGCAAAUACAAGCACAGGUGGCUCGCUAUAGUGAAAUGAUUGUUGUUUAUAAAAUUUGAUAUGACUUUUUAAUGCUUAGUUCUACUGACUAUAAUUAUA